UACGUAGGGGGCAAGCGUUGUCCGGAAUUAUUGGGCGUAAAGGGCUCGUAGGCGGUCUGUUGCGUCAGGAGUGAAAACUCGGGGCUUAACCCCGAGCCUGCUUCUGAUACGGGCAGACUAGAGGUAUGCAGGGGAGAACGGAAUUCCUGGUGUAGCGGUGAAAUGCGCAGAUAUCAGGAGGAACACCGGUGGCGAAGGCGGUUCUCUGGGCAUUACCUGACGCUGAGGAGCGAAAGCGUGGGUAGCAAACAGG
rnacentral:rRNA from 1 species